UUCUUUUUCCACCGGAGCUUGCUCCACCGGAAAAAGAGGAGUGGCGAACGGGUGAGUAACACGUGGGUAACCUGCCCAUCAGAAGGGGAUAACACUUGGAAACAGGUGCUAAUACCGUAUAACAAUCGAAACCGCAUGGUUUUGAUUUGAAAGGCGCUUUCGGGUGUCGCUGAUGGAUGGACCCGCGGUGCAUUAGCUAGUUGGUGAGGUAACGGCUCACCAAGGCGACGAUGCAUAGCCGACCUGAGAGGGUGAUCGGCCACAUUGGGACUGAGACACGGCCCAAACUCCUACGGGAGGCAGCAGUAGGGAAUCUUCGGCAAUGGACGAAAGUCUGACCGAGCAACGCCGCGUGAGUGAAGAAGGUUUUCGGAUCGUAAAACUCUGUUGUUAGAGAAGAACAAGGAUGAGAGUAACUGUUCAUCCCUUGACGGUAUCUAACCAGAAAGCCACGGCUAACUACGUGCCAGCAGCCGCGGUAAUACGUAGGUGGCAAGCGUUGUCCGGAUUUAUUGGGCGUAAAGCGAGCGCAGGCGGUUUCUUAAGUCUGAUGUGAAAGCCCCCGGCUCAACCGGGGAGGGUCAUUGGAAACUGGGAGACUUGAGUGCAGAAGAGGAGAGUGGAAUUCCAUGUGUAGCGGUGAAAUGCGUAGAUAUAUGGAGGAACACCAGUGGCGAAGGCGGCUCUCUGGUCUGUAACUGACGCUGAGGCUCGAAAGCGUGGGGAGCAAACAGGAUUAGAUACCCUGGUAGUCCACGCCGUAAACGAUGAGUGCUAAGUGUUGGAGGGUUUCCGCCCUUCAGUGCUGCAGCUAACGCAUUAAGCACUCCGCCUGGGGAGUACGACCGCAAGGUUGAAACUCAAAGGAAUUGACGGGGGCCCGCACAAGCGGUGGAGCAUGUGGUUUAAUUCGAAGCAACGCGAAGAACCUUACCAGGUCUUGACAUCCUUUGACCACUCUAGAGAUAGAGCUUCCCCUUUCGGGGGCAAAGUGACAGG
rnacentral:rRNA from 1 species